rnacentral:rRNA from 1 species
GUAGUCUCGCACAGAUGCAUAUCAAUAAGCGGAGGAAAAGAAACUAACAAGGAUUCCCUUAGUAACGGCGAGUGAAGCGGGAAGAGCUCAAAUUUGAAAUCUUCAAGGUUUUACCUUGACGAAUUGUAGUUUAAAGAAGUGUUUUCUGUUGAAGUUUUGGUAAAAGUUCUUUGGAAUAGGACAUCAUAGAGGGUGAGAAUCCCGUAUUUGACCAUUAUUUUCAGCUGUGUGAUACACUUUCAAAGAGUCGGAUUGUUUGGGAAUGCAGUCCAAAAUGGGUGGUAAAUUUCAUCUAAAGCUAAAUAUUGGCGAGAGACCGAUAGCGAACAAGUACCGUGAGGGAAAGAUGAAAAGAACUUUGAAAAGAGAGUUAAAUAGUACGUGAAAUUGUCAAAAGGGAAGCGUUUAACACCAGUGUUGUUUUCUGAAAAUCAACCUCUGUUAGCUUUAUGCAUGUUUGUUUAGACCUAAUCAGCUAUCUUGCAUGUUCUAUUGUUUGCAGUGGUGCACUUUUCAGUUUACAGGUCAACAUCAGUUUUUUUUUACCGUAAAAAAGUUAAAGAAAGGUAGCUCAUGGCUCCGGUCGUGAGUGUUAUAGUCUUUUUCCUAUGCGGUAGGAGAGACUGAGGUCUGCAGUGUAGGCUAUUUGGCUAGAUACUCAGGUGCUAUGUGAUACCAUUUCAUAAACAACUUGUUGAUUAUGUUUUGUCUAUUGCAUACUCGCUUGUACUAUCAUACCUACGCUUAGGAUGUUGAAGAUGUAGCACAUCAU